CAGCGGAAAACGUGUGAGAUAUACAUAUGAAGAUGUAUACUCAAGGUUACAUUUCUUGAAAUGUCAAAGGAACACCCGCUCAACAUCAUUCCAUUCCAUCAACUGCUCAACCUGCACAUUUAGAAAUACAUGCAGGGCUGAGUAUAAAAAUACUCAGUGGGCAUAGCCGAAAAUACAAUCAUGCAUACAUAUAUAAAUUGAACUGCCAUAACAGUAACACACAGGGGUUUUCUUAAAUGACCUGCGCUUACUAAAAUAUUUCUUUCAUUUUCAUAAAGUCGAUCGGCCGAUCAUUUUCCUUCAUAUGAUCCAUAUCUGUUCCUUUCUGUCACGCGCCGGGAAGGAGGCCUCCUUACCACGGACGCCAAGACCGGUCGCAAGCGACUCGCGGUCUCCAUAAGUGUACACGUUAACCCUAGCUAGCGACCUUUGUCUAGCAUAGGAUCCCAAUUGGAUUUCCUUUAAAGUUGGCGAACCAACACAGAUAGGAUACAUAUAAAAACAUAAACAUUUUUGGCAGUCAAUCAUUUCAUAAACAUUUCAUUUCAUUUCAUAAACAUUUCAUUUUUAUUUCAUAAGAGUCAUUUAUCAUUUGGGCAUAAUAAUAAACUGAAAUUAACAGUUAAAAUCAUCUCAUGCAUAUAUUCGUAUAAGAGGCCUACGACACGCAGGGGAUCUCUAUAUACGUAUAGUAAAAGUAAUGCCCACCUGUAUAGGCAAUGCCUGUCGUUUAACGUUAUCUCUGAAUCGGAAUAGCAGUGCUAAUCCUCAUGAUGCUCAAAGCCUACAAGAAAUCUAUUCUCAAUAGGUCUCCUUAAAUUCUAAUCUUAAGUCAUGGUGUAGUGCUUAAUAUUC
rnacentral:lncRNA from 1 species